rnacentral:rRNA from 1 species
UACGGAGGGUGCGAGCGUUAUUCGGAUUCACUGGGCGUAAAGCGCGCGUAGGCGGUUAGGUAAGUCUGAUGUGAAAGCCCUCGACUUAAUCGAGGAAGUGCAUUGGAUACUGCCUGACUAGAGUACAGGAGAGGAAGAUGGAAUUCCCGGUGUAGAGGUGAAAUUCGUAGAUAUCGGGAGGAACAACAGAGGCGAAGGCGAUCUUCUGGACUGUAACUGACGCUGAGGCGCGAAAGCGUGGGUAGCAAACAGG